GCACCCGUAUUGCUAGUGGGUCAGGCGGCCAGACUCUCAAUCUGGUGACGCGGGUUCGAUUCCCGCCGGGUGCG
rnacentral:tRNA from 1 species